CUCCCUCCGACGAUAUUGGCACUGCCGUAUGAAAAUCUUAAUCGGUGCCGGCGCAUCUACGGAUGGUAGCUGCGACAGUUUUAUAGCUUGUGGCUGUAGGACGCGAUCUCCAAUUCACCGCACCCGCGCUGCCUACCGGGACCUCAUCCCGGUCCACGCCAUGCCGUGCGUGCACCGCGGGGGCGUCCCCCAAUCAGGUGCGCGAGCCCCAACCCAAACUCCACCUUCCCAUGAUCAGCUACCACUACCACACCAACAAGCACUGGUGGCACAACACGGUUACCAUUUGCAUCCGCUUGCGCCUGCUGCUAAGGUCCUGGUGCAGGUCCAGUGGCAUGUAGCGGAUAAAUUCCCCAGUCCGGAGACUCUAGAUGAAGAGAUGGACACCUGCUCAGGCGAUCUGGUACUCGCGCGCAUAAGGCGUUCGACGGAAUGCAGCAGAGGGAUGUGGUUCAUUUUGACCUGCUAAAUUAUCACCAGCGAGUGCGAGCCAGACUGGUCGAUAUAGAUUCAGAGAAAGGAAGAAGAUAUCCAGUGCUUGAAGAUUUGGUCAGCGUGUAAGAAAGGUGAGAAGAAAAGCUGGGAAGGGUGAGAGGAAGAAGGGAUCUAGAAAAUGACAGGUUAUCCAUAUGAUGGCAUACUGGGUUCAGCUAUGGGCCUUCCUUUCGCCAGAGGGACAGCGGGAUGUCAUGGCUUCUGGAUGCACACGGCUUCAGACGGUCGCUCAGGAUAUCUUGUGCCAGGCUGGCUGACGACAUACUAGGAGGCUACAGUGAUGUGUAGUGCUACUAUGUUUUAUUUGUUUCGCUGGUUGAUUCUUGUAUCAACUGUAGGCGAUGAUUGAGCUGUAAGACUUGUAAGACUAAAUAUUAAAGUUUUUUUAAUAAAAGGCCGUGUGCAUCAUCAUGAUGCAGAAGCCGGGGUUACACUCUC